rnacentral:snRNA from 1 species
GAUCCGGAGGAUCUGGCUGGCUAGGUGGGCAUCACUUUCCUUUCUCGCCACGCCAUGGUGGUCCCAGCUGAAGCUAGCCACUCGAAAAGAACCAUCUUCCCCAACACAGAGGGCCAGGCUUUGGUCAGGGGUACUGUGAGCAGCUGCAUGACCCGGCUGGAACCUCCAAACAAGCACUCAAGCAGCUAUUUCUUCAGGAGAUGAGCAGACGGGAAAGCCUUCAGCAAAUCCGCAGCGCUUCCAUGCUGUGGCUGCCCCCUGC